CAUUUGUUCUUUAAAUAGGGACUUGUAUGAAUGGCCACACGAGGGUUCCACUGUCUCUUACUUCUAAUCAGUGAAAUUGACCUCCCCGUGAAGAGGCGGGGAUAAACAAAUAAGACGAGAAGACCCUAUGGAGCUUCAACUAACUAAUUCAAAGAGAAUAAAUUCAACCGCCAAGGGAUAAUCAAAUCCUUCAUGAGUUAGCAGUUUUGGUUGGGGUGACCUCGGAGAACAAAAAAUCCUCCGAGCGAUUUUAAAGACAAGACACACAAGUCAAACCAAACUAUCGCUUAUUGAUCCAAAAAAAUUGAUCAACGGAAUAAGUUACCCUAGGGAUAACAGCGCA
rnacentral:rRNA from 1 species